ACACGAAGGGCUGGAGAGCGGUACACGAAGGGCUGGAGAGCGGUACACGAAGGGCUGGAGAGCGGUACACGAAGGGCUGGAGAGCGGUACACGAAGGGCUGGAGAGCGGUACACAAAGGGCUGGAGAGCGGUACACGAAGGGCUGGAGAGCGGUACACGAAGGGCUGGAGAGCGGUACACGAAGGGCUGGAGAGCGGUACACGAAUGAGUGUCUGCCGGAAACAGUGAAGCAUGGUGGAGGUUCCUUGCAAGUUUGGGGCUGCAUUUCUGCAAAUGGAGUUGGGGAUUUGGUUAGAAUUAAUGGUCUCCUCAAUGCUGAGAAAGACAGGCAGAUACUUAUCCAUCAUACAAUACCAUCAGGGAGGCAUCUGAUUGGCCCCAAAUUUAUUCUGCAGCAUGACAAUGACCCAAAACAUACAGUGAAAGUCAUUCAGAACUAUCUUCAGUGUAAAGAAGAAUAACGAGUCCUGGAAGUGAUGGUAAGGCCCCCACAGAGCCCUGAUCUCAACAUCAUCGAGUCUGUCUGGGAUUACAUGAACAGAGAGAAGCACCUGAGGCUGCCUAAAUCCACAGAAUAACUGUGGUUAGUUCUCCAAAAUGUUUGGGCCAACCUACCUGCUGAGUUCCUUCAAAAACUGUGUGCAAAUGUACCUAGGAGAAUUGAUGCUGUUUUGAAUUGAUGCUGUUUUGAAGGGUGGUCACACCAAACAUUUAUUUGAUGUAGAUUUUUCUUCGUUUUACUCGCUUUGCAUUUUGUUAAUUGAUAAAUAUAAUCUAUUAAUAACAUGUCUAUUUUUGAAAGCAUUCUUACUUUACAGCAUUUUUUCACACCUGCCUAUGACUUUUGCACAGUACUGUAUGUCCAGGCAUCCAGCAUUCAUUGUGUCCAGGAUGUGGAUGGGGGUCAUAAACCUUCCAUCUCCAUGAGGAAAUAAUAACAAGGUGGGAGGAAACGUGACUCCGUCCUGGGAUGAGCUGCAAACCACUCUGUGACUGGACUGGUGAAAUGCCACGGUGUCCAUUACAAUGUCAAACGUUGGCUGAUUUCGCCUCACUGCAACCCUUUCCUCACCUGGCACAACCCUUCCAGAGAGGUCAUCCAGGAAUGUAAUGAGACGCUCAGUGUUGUAUGGCACAACCCUUCCAGAGAGGUCAUCCAGGAAUGUAAUGAGACGCUCGGUGUUGUAUGGCACAACCCUUCCAGAGAGGUCAUCCAGGAAUGUAAUGAGACGCUCGGUGUUGUAUGUCACAACCCUUCCAGAGAGGUCAUCCAGGAAUGUAAUGAGACGCUCGGUGUUG
ensembl:lncRNA